UACGUAGGUGGCAAGCGUUGUCCGGAUUUACUGGGCGUAAAGAGCGCGCAGGCGGUCAGAUCAGUCGAAUGUGAAAGCCCCCGGCUCAACUGGGGAGGGUCAUUCGAUACUGUCCGACUCGAAGGCAGGAGAGGGAAGCGGAAUUCCCGGUGUAGUGGUGAAAUGCGUAGAUAUCGGGAGGAACACCAGUGGCGAAGGCGGCUUUCUGGCCUGUUCUUGACGCUGAGGCGCGAAAGCUAGGGGAGCGAACGGG
rnacentral:rRNA from 1 species